UAGAUGGGUCUCCGGAGACCGGGGUAUA
rnacentral:sRNA from 1 species